AAGCAUUGUAGGUCUGUUAGCCCCUUCUACCUUCAAGCACUGCUCAGAUAUUUCACCGAACUUUCUCAAUGAGUGAGGAUUAAUCUGCCCAGCCAAUGAAGGAUCAAUAAUCUUUUCUAUUUCCCCUUUCUUUAGCCAAAACAUCCCCCAUUCAGCUAAGUUUAUUUCCUCUCUCCUGGUAGAGUUCACAAUAGGAGGUCGAGCACAAAGUAUUUCAAGAAGUACCACACCAAAGGAGUAGACAUCCGAUUUAUCAGUUAACUGAAGAGUUCUCACAUAUUCAGGAUCAAGAUAACCGAAGCUUCCUAUCAGACCCAUUCUGCAAUGGUCUGUAUUAGGAGGGCCCGAACGUGAAAGACCAAAAUCAGCAACUUUUGCCAC
rnacentral:misc_RNA from 1 species